CGCCUGGGGAGUGCGGCCGCAAGGUUAAAACUCAAAGAAAUUGACGGGGGCCUGCACACGCGGUGGAGCAUGUGGUUUAAUUCGAAGCAACGCGCAGAACCUUACCAGCGUUUGACAUGGUAGGACGGUUUCUGGAGACAGAUUCCUUCCCUUACGGGACCUACACACAGGUGCUGCAUGGCUGUCGUCAGCUCGUGUCGUGAGAUGUUGGGUUAAGUCCCGCAACGAGCGCAACCCUCGUCUCUAGUUGCUACCAUUUAGUUGGGCACUCUAGAGAAACUGCCGGUGAUAAGCCGGAGGAAGGUGGGGAUGACGUCAAGUCCUCAUGGCCCUUACGCGCUGGGCUACACACGUGCUACAAUGGCGGUGACAGUGGGCAGCAAACUCGCGAGAGUGAGCAAAUCCCCAAAAGCCGUCUCAGUUCGGAUUGUUCUCUGCAACUCGAGAGCAUGAAGGCGGAAUCGCUAGUAAUCGUGGAUCAGCAUGCCACGGUGAAUACGUUCCCAGGCCUUGUACACACCGCCCGUCACACCAUGGGAGUUGGUUUCACCCGAAGGCGCUGCGCUAACCCGCAAGGGAGGCAGGCGACCACGGUGGGAUCAGCGACUGGGGUGAAGUCGUAACAAGGUAACCGUA
rnacentral:rRNA from 1 species